GCUCAUUUCACCAAUGAAAAGGCACUGGCAACAUCUCCUAUGCAGAUUAGCCGCAGCCUCCGGUGCCGAUUUAGCAAAGCCAUGAUUGACCAGAUCCGAGGCUCGCUGCCCUGUGGAGCUGCUUCCUAAUUAUGUUACUUCAAGCACCCAUCCCCAGGGUGCAGGUUAAAGUUAACCAGCACACUAAUGUACAUCAAGCAGUGUAGGCGGAGGCGCAGUUCUGAAGACAGUCACCAAUACGCGGCAAAUACCUAUUUAGUUACUGGCACCCACUAUGUACCAGCCACUGUGCUGGGCACGGAUGGACACACAUCAGCCCCUGCCCGCAUGGUGGAACAGGGAUAUGGGAGAGAAAGACAACAAACAACUCGGUGUACAAAUAGUCAACUACAGUGGAAAAGCAAAGAUUAAAUCCUCAUACCUCUCUGGAAAAGUGGAGGGGACCACAUUCCAGCAUCUGGUGCCUUGUUUGCCCCAAACAUGACUUCAAGUGAAUCGACAUAAUACUCUUCCAGAGGGAAAGCAGAACCAUCUGCAGGGCUGAGGGACCAAGAAACACAGUGAGGAAUUCCACAGGAGGCCCACGCGGAGGGAUGUGACACCCCAGGUGGACUCUAGGGGACGCUCACUUGGAACUUGCAUCACCCGGAACUGUGUCUGCCACUGUGACUUCAGAGCAGCACAGACCUGAGGUGGAUCCAGCAAUGCCCACAACUGUCCAACAAUUUCACUUUUCCGAGGCUCAGUUUCCAUGUGGAAAAUGGACUGGCUCUGAGUAUUAAAUGAGGAUGAAUGUC
rnacentral:lncRNA from 1 species